GAUGAACGCUGGCGGCGUGCCUAAUACAUGCAAGUCGAGCGAACGGACGAGAAGCUUGCUUCUCUGAUGUUAGCGGCGGACGGGUGAGUAACACGUGGAUAACCUACCUAUAAGACUGGGAUAACUUCGGGAAACCGGAGAUAAUACCGGAUAAUAUUUUGAACCGCAUGGUUCAAAAGUGAAAGACGGUCUUGCUGUCACUUAUAGAUGGAUCCGCGCUGCAUUAGCUAGUUGGUAAGGUAACGGCUUACCAAGGCAACGAUGCAUAGCCGACCUGAGGGGGUGAUCGGCCAAACUGGAACUGAGACACGGUCCAGACUCCUACGGGAGGCAGCAGUAGGGAAUCUUCCGAAAUGGGCGAAAGCCUGACGGAGCACCGCCGCGUGAGUGAUGAAGGUCUUCGGAUCGUAAAACUCUGUUAUUAGGGAAGAACAUAUGUGUAGGUAACUGUGCACAUCUUGACGGUACCUAAUCAGAAAGCCACGGCUAACUACGUG
rnacentral:rRNA from 1 species